rnacentral:rRNA from 1 species
UGGCGGACGGGUGAGUAACGCGUGGGUAACCUGCCUUGUACUGGGGGACAACGAUUGGAAACGAUCGCUAAUACCGCAUAAGCGCACAGUGUCGCAUGACACGGUGUGAAAAACUCCGGUGGUACAAGAUGGACCCGCGUCUGAUUAGUUAGUUGGUGAGGUAAUGGCUCACCAAGACAGCGAUCAGUAGCCGGACUGAGAGGUCGAACGGCCACAUUGGGACUGAGACACGGCCCAGACUCCUACGGGAGGCAGCAGUGGGGAAUAUUGCACAAUGGGCGAAAGCCUGAUGCAGCGACGCCGCGUGAGCGAAGAAGUAUUUCGGUAUGUAAAGCUCUAUCAGCAAGGAAGAUAAUGACGGUACUUGACUAAGAAGCCCCGGCUAACUACGUGCCAGCAGCCGCGGUAAUACGUAGGGGGCAAGCGUUAUCCGGAUUUACUGGGUGUA